rnacentral:rRNA from 1 species
CUGAAACAUCUAAGUAGCUGCAGGAAGAGAAAGCAAAAGCGAUUGCCUUAGUAGCGGCGAGCGAAACGGCAGGAGGGCAAACCGAAGUGUUUACACUUCGGGGUUGUAGGACUGCGAUAUAGGAUUAAUCAUUAUAGAAGAAUUACCUGGGAAGGUAAGCCAAAGAGAGUAACAGCCUCGUAUUUAAAAUGAUAGAUUAACCUUAGCAGUAUCCUGAGUACGGCGAGACACGCGAAAUCUCGUCGGAAUCUGGGAGGACCAUCUCCCAACCCUAAAUACUCUCUAGUGACCGAUAGUGAACCAGUACCGUGAGGGAAAGGUGAAAAGCACCCCGGGAGGGGAGUGAAAUAGAACCAGAAACCGUGUGCCUACAACAAGUUCGAGCCCGUUAAUGGGUGAGAGCGUGCCUUUUGUAGAAUGAACCGGCGAGUUACGAUAUGAUGCGAGGUUAAGUUGAAGAGACGGAGCCGUAGGGAAACCGAGUCUUAAUAGGGCGCCAUAGUAUCAUGUUGUAGACCCGAAACCAUGUGACCUACCCAUGAGCAGGUUGAAGGUGAGGUAAAACUCACUGGAGGACCGAACCAGGGCACGUUGAAAAGUGCUUGGAUGACUUGUGGGUAGCGGAGAAAUUCCAAACGAACUUGGAGAUAGCUGGUUCUCUCCGAAAUAGCUUUAGGGCUAGCGUCGAUGUUAAGUCUCUUGGAGGUAGAGCACUGUUUGGGUGAGGGGUCCAUCCCGGAUUACCAAUCUCAGAUAAACUCCGAAUGCCAACGAGAUAUAAUCGGCAGUCAGACUGCGAGUGCUAAGAUCCGUAGUCGAAAGGGAAACAGCCCAGACCACCAGCUAAGGUCCCAAAAUAUAUGUUAAGUGGAAAAGGAUGUGGGGUUGCACAGACAACUAGGAUGUUAGCUUAGAAGCAGCUAUUCAUUCAAAGAGUGCGUAAUAGCUCACUAGUCGAGUGACCCUGCGCCGAAAAUGUACCGGGGCUAAAACAUAUUACCGAAGCUGUGGAUGACACAAAAGUGUCAUGGUAGGAGAGCGUUCUAUGUGUGAAGAAGGUGUACCGUGAGGAGCGCUGGAACGCAUAGAAGUGAGAAUGCCGGUAUGAGUAGCGCAAGACAGGUGAGAAUCCUGUCCACCGUAAGACUAAGGUUUCCAGGGGAAGGCUCGUCCGCCCUGGGUUAGUCGGGACCUAAGGAGAGACCGAAAGGUGUAUCCGAUGGACAACAGGUUGAUAUUCCUGUACUAGAGUAUAUAGUGAUGGAGGGACGCAGUAGGCUAACUAAACCAGACGAUUGGAAGUGUCUGGUCAAACAGUGAGGUGUGAUAUGAGUCAAAUGCUUAUAUCUUUAACAUUGAGCUGUGACGAGGAGCGAAGUUUAGUAGCGAAGUUAGUGAUGUCACACUGCCAAGAAAAGCUUCUAGCGAUACAUAUACUCUACCCGUACCGCAAACCGACACAGGUAGUCGAGGCGAGUAGCCUCAGGUGAGCGAGAGAACUCUCGUUAAGGAACUCGGCAAAAUGGCCCCGUAACUUCGGGAGAAGGGGCGCUGAUUUUAGAUCAGCCGCAGUGAAUAGGCCCAAGCAACUGUUUAUCAAAAACACAGCUCUCUGCUAAAUCGUAAGAUGAUGUAUAGGGGGUGACGCCUGCCCGGUGCUGGAAGGUUAAGAGGAGUGCUUAGCGUAAGCGAAGGUAUGAAUUGAAGCCCCAGUAAACGGCGGCCGUAACUAUAACGGUCCUAAGGUAGCGAAAUUCCUUGUCGGGUAAGUUCCGACCCGCACGAAAGGCGUAAUGAUUUGGGCACUGUCUCAACGAGAGACUCGGUGAAAUUUUAGUACCUGUGAAGAUGCAGGUUACCCGCGACAGGACGGAAAGACCCCAUGGAGCUUUACUGCAGUUUGAUAUUGAGUAUCUGUACCACAUGUACAGGAUAGGUAGGAGCCUAUGAUAACGGGACGCCAGUUUCGUUUGAGGCGUUGUUGGGAUACUACCCUUGUGUUAUGGCUACUCUAACCCAGAUAGGCAAUCCCUAUCGGAGACAGUGUCUGACGGGCAGUUUGACUGGGGCGGUCGCCUCCUAAAAGGUAACGGAGGCGCCCAAAGGUUCCCUCAGACUGGUUGGAAAUCAGUCGUAGAGUGUAAAGGUAUAAGGGAGCUUGACUGCGAGAGCUACAACUCGAGCAGGGACGAAAGUCGGGCUUAGUGAUCCGGUGGUU